rnacentral:rRNA from 1 species
UCGAGAAUUUUUCACAAUGGGGGAAACCCUGAUGGAGCGACGCCGCGUGGAGGACGAAGGCCUUCGGGUUGUAAACUCCUGUCAUGCGGGAACAAGAAAGUGAUAGUACCGCAAGAGGAAGAGACGGCUAACUCUGUGCCAGCAGCCGCGGUAAUACAGAGGUCUCGAGCGUUGUUCGGAUUCAUUGGGCGUAAAGGGUGCGUAGGUGGCGAUGUAAGUCUGGUGUGAAAUCUCAGGGCUCAACCUUGAAAUUGCAUUGGAUACUGCGUUGCUGGAGGAUUGUAGAGGAGAGUGGAAUUCACGGUGUAGCAGUGAAAUGCGUAGAUAUCGUGAGGAAGACCAGUUGCGAAGGCGACUCUCUGGGCAAUUCCUGACACUGAGGCACGAAGGCUAGGGGAGCAAACGGG